CUAACCUAAUGUGCUCUACUUGUUGAACUGGAGUCUCCGUAUGUCUACGCUUCUCUUGUCCAAACCACCUCAAUAAUUCAACCAAUAAAAAAAAAUAUGCUAUGUUUUCUUCAGUUUUUUUCAUUCUCUGUAUGUUCCAACUUUCCGACUAAUGUUUUUAUCACAUUUUCUCUCAAAAUUUCACCUAAACUUCUAAUUCUUUUUACAAAUCUCUCCCUUA
rnacentral:misc_RNA from 1 species